rnacentral:rRNA from 1 species
AUUGAACGCUGGCGGCAUGCCUUACACAUGCAAGUCGAACGGCAGCACGGGAGCAAUCCUGGUGGCGAGUGGCGAACGGGUGAGUAAUAUAUCGGAACGUGCCCAGUCGUGGGGGAUAACGUAGCGAAAGCUACGCUAAUACCGCAUACGAUCUAUGGAUGAAAGCGGGGGAUCGCAAGACCUCGCGCGAUUGGAGCGGCCGAUAUCAGAUUAGGUAGUUGGUGAGGUAAAGGCUCACCAAGCCGACGAUCUGUAGCUGGUCUGAGAGGACGACCAGCCACACUGGGACUGAGACACGGCCCAGACUCCUACGGGAGGCAGCAGUGGGGAAUUUUUGGACAAUGGGCGCAAGCCUGAUCCAGCAAUGCCGCGUGCAGGAUGAAGGCCUUCGGGUUGGUAAACGUUAGCUUUUGUUACGGUAAC